UAAUUGGGGCAACUGGUGAGCUUGUUCAUGCUGAUACUAACAAGGGUGCCGUACCGAUUUACAGCCUGUGUAAUUUUUAGGGAGAGGCUUAAACAUCUCACGGGAACUUGGCCGGAGCAGUGUUGAAUAUCUAGGGGAAACCCGGAUUAAUACCCCAUGGUACCGCAAGGUUAAAGGUGGCCAGCAAUGGCUGCCGCUGGAGGAUUGGUUCGCGCCCUAUCAGCUUGUUGGUGAGGUAACGGCUCACCAAGGCUACGACGGGUACCUGGUCUGAGAGGACGAUCAGGCACACUGGAACUGAGACACGGUCCAGACACCUACGGGUGGCAGCAGUCGAGAAUAAUUCACAAUGGACGAAAGUCUGAUGGUGCAACGCCGCGUGGAGGAUGACGGUCUUCGGAUUGUAAACUCCUGUCAUCUGGGAGAAAGACCUGGGAGUUAAUAGCUCACAGGGUUGAUAGUACCAGAAGAGGAAGGGACGGCUAACUUCGUGCCAGCAGCCGCGGUAAUACGAAGGUCCCAAGCGUUGUUCGGAAUCACUGGGCGUAAAGGGAGCGUAGGCGGCGCGGUAAGUCGGAUGUGAAAUCCCGAGGCUCAACCUCGGAACUGCAUCUGAUACUGCCGUGCUAGAGUAAUGGAGGGGUAGCUGGAAUUUCUCGUGUAGCAGUGAAAUGCGUAGAUAUCGAGAGGGACACUCUGUGCGAAAGCGAGCUACUGGACAAUUACUGACGCUGAGGCUCGAGGCUAGGGGAGCGAAAGGGAUUAAAACCCCUUGAGUCCUAC
rnacentral:rRNA from 1 species